UUAAAAACACAGGGGAGCUUGUGGAGCAGGCUGAGAGGAAGUAAUCAAACUUCGACCCUUUAACCUGAUGCGGAUAAUGCCGCCGUAGGAAGUCAAAAGGGAUGAACU
rnacentral:ncRNA from 2 species